rnacentral:lncRNA from 1 species
CUUUAAGUUACUUGUACUGCAACAACGUCAGGGUCACAGUUUUUUUAAUAUUUUUGUUUUCAUAUUUUUUUCCCUCUGCCAUAUGUAUAAACUUGUAACCAAUCAAAACUCUCUCUCUCUCUCUCUGUUGCCUGAAAAUUAUUACAUUACCAAAUUGAAAUCUAAUUCGAUUGACGUACGAUUGUAUAAUGGUACACUUCUCUACGGCAAGGUAAAUAUUUUCAAAUUCUUUGGUUAACUAUUACACCUGUGUUCCACAAUUUCUUGUAAUAAUUCUCGAAAAUUUUCAAAGAACUCUGGGGUUAGUUCUUCGAUAUUUUACCUUCAGAUCUGGAAGUUGAUCUAGGGAUUGAGAAUUUGUGUUCGUGAUGUGUCUUGUAACGUCAUGUUGAAUUUGGGUUGAAUUAUACAAGGGUUCUUACGUAGUUGAUGUGUGAAAAUGGAGGGGAGUCUGGGAUCAGGAGGCGUGUUGAAGAAGAAGAGUUCAUCAGGGUGUUUGAUUAUUAAAAAGAGAAGUGAAAAUAACAAUUUAAGUGGAUUGGGGAGUUCGAACAAUAUUAAGGAAAAAAAGAGGCCAAGAUUAGUUGUUAGUGAUUCAGGUUCGAGUUAUGAGAACCAGUCAUUGGAGUUUAUGAGAAGAAAAGUGAAUGAAAAGAAAUUUUGGAAUGGUUCUAUGGAGGGUGGGAAGAGUGGGCUUGAAGGCAGGGAGUAUUAUAGGAACAAUGGCGGGACGGGGGGGAGGGGGGNAUUAAAUGGUGAUACUCCACAUGAGAAAUGGUCUGGAAAAUUGGGUGACUACUCGAUGCUUAAAGCAUUUGGCUGUGCUGCUUUCUCUCAUCAAAGUGAGGGAAAGUUAGAACCAAGAGCCAGGAAGUGUGUCUUUCUAGGGUAUCCCGAAGGGGUUAAGGGAUAUAGGCUAUGGGAUAGAAGCCAAAAAGGAGUUAAGAUCAUCGUGAGUAGGGAUGUCACAUUUAAUGAGAAAGAGAUGCCUUGUCUAAAGAACGAAACCGAACCAGUAAGUGAAAUUGAAUCAAGUGAAGAAAGAAGUCAGUUUAAGGUGGAGUUAGGAAAAUUUAACACAUCAGUACCUAGUACUUCGAGUGAGGUGGAGAUUCAGGUCCAAGAACCUGAAGAGGAAAAUGAAGUAGUGAUAGAAGAGCAUCCUGAAGAAGAAAAUCCACUAGCUAACUAUAACUUAGCUAGAGAUAGAGAGAGAAGACAAACGAGAGAACCUAGGAGAUUCGGAUAUGAAUCUGAAUUGGAUUUUGCAUACGCUAGUUACGAAGAACUAGUUGAUAGGGAGCCAGAAACGUUUGAAGAGGCUAUGAACAGUGGUCAAUCUAAGGAGUGGCUUGAGGCUAUGAAAGAAGAGAUGAGUUCUCUAGAAAAGAAUCAAACUUGGGAGUUAGUACCGAGACCUAAGAAUAAAUCAAUCGUUGAUUGCAAGUGGGUCUUUAAGGUUAAAGAAGGUACUAGUAGUUCAGAACCCUUAAGGUUUAAGGCUAGGUUAGUAGCAAAGGGUUACACACAGAAAGAAGGUGUUGAUUAUAACGAGAUUUUCUCACCAGUUGUCAAGUACACUACUAUUAGGGUCAUGCUCGCAUUGGUUGCGCUCUUUGACUGGGAACUUGAACAACUCGAUGUAAAAACCGCUUUUUUACAUGGAGAGCUUGAUGAACAAAUCUUUAUGAAUCAACCAAAAGGUUUUAAAGACAAGUUAAAACCUGAUUAUGUGUGUUUUCUGAAAAGAUCCCUAUACGGUCUGAAGCAAUCACCUAGACAGUGGUACAAGAGGUUUGAUUCCUUUGUACUCACUAUAGGAUUUCAAAGAAGUAAAUUCGAUCACUGCCUAUACUUUCAACACAACGAGACUGAUAACAAUUAUUUGUUUUUGUUGCUCUAUGUGGACGACAUGCUUUUAGUUGG